rnacentral:rRNA from 1 species
UACGGGGGGAGCAAGCGUUGUUCGGAUUUACUGGGCGUAAAGGGCGCGUAGGCGGCCUCUGCAAGUCGACUGUGAAAUCUCCGGGCUUAACCCGGAAAGGUCAGCCGAUACUGCAGGGCUAGAGUGCAGAAGGGGCAACUGGAAUUCUCGGUGUAGCGGUGAAAUGCGUAGAUAUCGAGAGGAACACCUGCGGCGAAGGCGGGUUGCUGGGCUGACACUGACGCUGAAGUGCGAAAGCUAGGGGAGCGAACGGG